GGACGGGUGAGUAACGCGUAAAGAACUUGCCUCACAGCUAGGGACAACAUUUGGAAACGAAUGCUAAUACCUAAUAUUAUAAUAAUAGGGCAUCCUAUAAUUAUGAAAGCUAUAAGCGCUGUGAGAGAGCUUUGCGUCCCAUUAGCUAGUUGGAGAGGUAACGGCUCACCAAGGCGAUGAUGGGUAGCCGGCCUGAGAGGGUGAUCGGCCACGAGGGGACUGAGACACGGCCCUUACUCCUACGGGAGGCAGCAGUGGGGAAUAUUGGACAAUGGACCAAGAGUCUGAUCCAGCAAUUCUGUGUGCACGAUGAAGUUUUUCGGAAUGUAAAGUGCUUUCAGUUGGGAAGAAAGAAAUGACGGUACCAACAGAAGAAGUGACGGCUAAAUACGUGCCAGCAGCCGCGGUAAUACGUAUGUCACGAGCGUUAUCCGGAUUUAUUGGGCGUAAAGCGCGUCUAGGUGGUUAUAUAAGUCUGAUGUGAAAAUGCAGGGCUCAACUCUGUAUUGCGUUGGAAACUGUAUAACUAGAGUACUGGAGAGGUAAGCGGAACUACAAGUGUAGAGGUGAAAUUCGUAGAUAUUUGUAGGAAUGCCGAUGGGGAAGCCAGCUUACUGGACAGAUACUGACGCUGAAGCGCGAAAGCGUGGGUAGCAAACAGGAUUAGAUAUCCUGGUAGUCCACGCCGUAAACGAUGAUUACUAGGUGUUGGGGGUCGAACCUCAGCGCCCAAGCAAACGCGAUAAGUAAUCCGCCUGGGGAGUACGU
rnacentral:rRNA from 1 species